rfam:Ajellomyces capsulatus G186AR genomic scaffold supercont2.13, whole genome shotgun sequence.
GACACGGUGGUAGAGUGGUUAAUACGUGAGACUUGAACCCGCUGUGUGUUCUACCAGCAAAUGGUUUCGACAUCUCAUACCUUCGGGUGCGCAAGUUCGAAUCUUGUCCGUGUCG